UAAGCAUAUCAAUAAGCGGAGGAAAAGAAACCAACAGGGAUUGCCCCAGUAACGGCGAGUGAAGCGGCAACAGCUCAAAUUUGAAAUCUGGCUUCGGCCCGAGUUGUAAUUUGCAGAGGAAGCUUUAGGCGCGGCACCAUCUGAGUCCCCUGGAACGGGGCGCCACAGAGGGUGAGAGCCCCGUAUAGAUGGACGCCUAGCCUGUGUAAAGCUCCUUCGACGAGUCGAGUAGUUUGGGAAUGCUGCUCUAAAUGGGAGGUAAAUUUCUUCUAAAGCUAAAUACCGGCCAGAGACCGAUAGCGCACAAGUAGAGUGAUCGAAAGAUGAAAAGCACUUUGAAAAGAGGGUUAAAUAGCACGUGAAAUUGUUGAAAGGGAAGCGCUUGUGACCAGACUUGCGCCGGGCGGAUCAUCCGGUGUUCUCACCGGUGCACUCCGCCCGGCUCAGGCCAGCAUCGGUUCUCGUGGGGGGACAAAGGUCCCGGGAACGUAGCUCCUCCGGGAGUGUUAUAGCCCGGGGCGUAAUGCCCUCGCGGGGACCGAGGACCGCGCUUCGGCAAGGAUGCUGGCGUAAUGGUCAUCAGCGACCCGUCUUGAAACACGGACCAAGGAGUCAAGGUUUUGCGCGAGUGUUUGGGUGUAAAACCCGCACGCGUAAUGAAAGUGAACGUAGGUGAGAGCUUCGGCGCAUCAUCGACCGAUCCUGAUGUUUUCGGAUGGAUUUGAGUAGGAGCGUUAAGCCUUGGACCCGAAAGAUGGUGAACUAUGCUUGGAUAGGGUGAAGCCAGAGGAAACUCUGGUGGAGGCUCGCAGCGGUUCUGACGUGCAAAUCGAUCGUCAAAUCUGAGCAUGGGGGCGAAAGACUAAUCGAACCAUCUAGUAGCUGGUUACCGCCGAA
rnacentral:rRNA from 1 species